rnacentral:rRNA from 1 species
UACGAAGGGGGCUAGCGUUGCUCGGAAUCACUGGGCGUAAAGGGUGCGUAGGCGGGUCUUUAAGUCAGGGGUGAAAUCCUGGAGCUCAACUCCAGAACUGCCUUUGAUACUGAAGAUCUUGAGUUCGGGAGAGGUGAGUGGAACUGCGAGUGUAGAGGUGAAAUUCGUAGAUAUUCGCAAGAACACCAGUGGCGAAGGCGGCUCACUGGCCCGAUACUAACGCUGAGGCACGAAAGCGUGGGAGCAACAGG